rnacentral:rRNA from 1 species
UGCGAAGGGGGCUAGCGUUGUUCGGAAUUACUGGGCGUAAAGGGCGCGUAGGCGGCCUUCUAAGUCGAACGUGAAAUCCCCGGGCUCAACCCGGGAACUGCGUCCGAUACUGGAAGGCUUGAAUCCGGGAGAGGGAUGUGGAAUUCCAGGUGUAGCGGUGAAAUGCGUAGAUAUCUGGAGGAACACCGGUGGCGAAGGCGACAUCCUGGACCGGUAUUGACGCUGAGGCGCGAAAGCCAGGGGAGCAAACGGG